CCGGAACUGACAUCCUAGCAGGCUCCUGGGCGAUGCAGAUGCUGGCAUUCUGGGCACUGCCCUUUGGAAAGCUAUGAUGACCACUGAAGCAGAACAGACCAAAGCAAAGAGGUGGGAAAGUCGCGAGAAGAUACAGGACUGGCUGGGAUACAUCAGGAAGAGGAGCUGCGAUGGAUGGGACUUCAAAUGGAAGUUGGUGAUUAUAUCCGUCCCAGCACCUCCCGCCUUGCAAGAGAGGCCUUAUAAAUCCUGGUCACAAGGAAGGGAAACAGAAGCUCAAGGAAGAGAGAGCCAUGGCUUCCUAGGUGUCAGUGAAGACCCAGACGCUGAAACUAUAACCGCCUAGUUCAGAAACCUAUACUUUGCUUGACCACAAUCCAAGCAGGGGGUGGGGAUGGGAUGUUUUUCUGCAGGGCUGGACAUAGAGUCAGUGUUCAGAGCACAUUGUUGGAGAGAGGAAGGAUGGGUGAGUGAAUAAGUGAAGAAAUGAAUGAGAGAACAGAACCACUUUGAGAGCCUGGAAACCGGGACCUCACGCUCUGUGACCUCACGCUCCAACUUCCCCUCCUCCCCGAGUCUGAUCUGAAAGGUGACCCCCGUUCCUCUCGCCCAGGUGAUAAAGCCAGGUGCAGGUGCACCUGUUACCCAAACCUGAUAUCCAAAUAGGAAGUAAGGCUGAGAUAAGGCUGUGGAGGGCAGUGCCUGGAAUCACGGGGUUGGGCUGGCCAUUGGCUUGAUGCCACAAGUGUCCACCGAGCCUCUCCUAAAGGUUGAGCUCUAUGCCAGGUUCCUUCAGGGUGAGGCAGGAAGCCACGCAGCUCCUGACCUCCAACAGCUUAUGGAAAAAAAAAAUACUUACAAACAGGAUGUGGGUCGGGCAAAGGGAGAAGUGUGAAGCAGGUGGCCAUUGCUCCCUGACAGCUCCAACAGGGAGUUGGGACUGAGAGAUGAGAAGAAAUGAGGCAGUAGUUAGUGAUGCCAGGGGAGGGGCCUGACCCUUGCACUGCCAUUGCUGAGGAAUAAGAGGUCCUUAAAGUUUAGCUCCUCAGACCCAGACCCCUCCCCAGUCCUCCUACCUUCUCUCAGGGUCUCCCUUACAAGAUCAGGCUAAGCUUCCUCUCUGUUCCUUCUGGCUUUACCACAGGUUGGCAUCCUGGAGCAAGGGCCUAGUCUCUGUAUUUUCCACACAGGCCUCUUUUUCUCUACCUUCCUCCUGCCCCUCACUACCUGAGCUAGGUCCAAGAAGCCUCCUUGUGGCCUGGCAUUUGAGUGCUGAACUUAAGAGGAUUUUGUAAGCUGGUUAAACAAAGCCAGAUUAAAAAUCAAGUUACAAGUGCCAUGUUCUAUUAAAGUCAAAGAUAACAGGUACUCAAACCCUGCAACUUCCUAGUUCUUUAACAUUUCAUGCUAUGUAUGUUAUAGAGGAUAUGCACAUAUGUUGUGCCCUGUAAUUGGAAAAUAACAUUUUAUGGUAUUGUGCAUCUCUGCGGUUCUCUGCUCAGCCAUAUCACCCAAGUAGAUAGAUGCCUUAGUUCAUUUUGUGUUAUAACAAAAUCCCUGAGGCUAUUUUAUUUCUAAAAAAAAAAAGAGGUCUAUUUAGCUUACAAUUAAUUUUGGAAUAGUGCUAACAUCUGCUCAGCUCUGGUGAGGGCAUUCUGCCUCUGUCACAUUGUGGAGGGCAGCAUUAUGUAUGGAUAUGCAUGAAAUAGAGAGAUCACAUGGCCACUUAGGGAGCAAGAGAGAUUCAGGGACCAGGUUUACUCUUUGUGUAACAACCUACGCUCAUGGGAUCUAGACCAGCGACAUUUUCAUAUGAUCUAGAACGAACUCAAGAGAGAAUAGGUUUAUUUUAACUACAGUUUGAGAGGUACGGUUGUGUACAUGAUAGAAAAAGCACGUCAGGUAGUUCAUCCAUGACAUGACUUGGCACCAACUAGGAAGCAACAAGUUCUUGGGCCAUAACUGGAUAUAAAUAUGAUCUUCAAAGUCCCAUCCCUCGUGGCCAAGUUCACCAAGCUAGGCCUUAGGUCCCCAAACA
rnacentral:lncRNA from 1 species